GCCCCGUUGGCUCAAUGGGAGAGCGCCCGCCUGUCGAGCGGGAGGCCGCCGGUUCGAUCCCGGCACGGGGCGC
rnacentral:tRNA from 1 species